rnacentral:lncRNA from 1 species
AAGUUGAAUGAACAAAAUUUAUUAAAUGUGCAAUCUGUAUCUUAAACAUUAAAGAGAAUUGUUUUGUGUCAGUGCCAGAAAUUGAAUACACACCUGCAAAUUUCGUAAUUCAUAAAAAUAUUAUGAAUCCAUUAGCAAAUAAAGUUGUAUCCUUGAAAGAUAUGCUGGUAUUAUUGGCACAAUGGGCAGGCAUUAAAGUGCAACUUGGUGAACUACAAAAUACAACAAAUUCAGUUAUAAAAAUUUAAGUAAAAAAG